UACGUAGGGUGCGAGCGUUAAUCGGAAUUACUGGGCGUAAAGGGUGCGCAGGCGGUCUCGUAAGCUGGGUGUGAAAGCCCCGGGCUUAACCCUGGGAAUGGCAUUCAGGACUGCGAGGCUUUGAGUGCGGCAGAGGGAGGUGGAAUUCCACGUGUAGCAGUGAAAUGCGUAGAGAUGUGGAGGAACACCGAUGGCGAAGGCAGCCUCCUGGGCCAGCACUGACGCUCAUGCACGAAAGCGUGGGGAGCAAACAGG
rnacentral:rRNA from 1 species